rnacentral:rRNA from 1 species
UACGUAGGUGACAAGCGUUGUCCGGAAUUACUGGGCGUAAAGAGCUCGUAGGUGGUUUGUCGCGUUGUUCGUGAAAACUCACAGCUCAACUGUGGGCGUGCGGGCGAUACGGGCAGACUUGAGUACUGCAGGGGAGACUGGAAUUCCUGGUGUAGCGGUGGAAUGCGCAGAUAUCAGGAGGAACACCGGUGGCGAAGGCGGGUCUCUGGGCAGUAACUGACGCUGAGGAGCGAAAGCGUGGGGAGCGAACAGG